UGAAUAUUUUCAUGCACCUUCAGAAGAUGUUGUGUGCAGUGGGAAUGGGAUUUGUAUUCAAACGAUUUGAAUACUUUUCCAAACGUUCAGAGAUUCAAUUUAGCAAGGAGCGUGCGUAGAUUCAAUUUAGCAGUGCGCUAACGGCACUCAAAGGAGCGUGUCCAGAUUCAAUUCGGAACGUGCCCUAACGGCACUCAAUUAUAGUGCAAUGGCCAUUAAAAAAAAUAGUGACCGUUGAAAAAAACAGGAAUUCACUUCUUAUAAAUGAAUAGUUUAAUUGAGAAGCAGGACAAAUUUCUUGUUCUGUUUUCUUUUUGGUUUGAUUCGUCUCCCAUUGUAUGUUUUUGGCAUGGCCAUGCCUGUUUUUGAUUUAUGUUUUCCUGAAUUUUGGUUUUGAAUUUUUCUUUCCUGAAUUUUGGUAUUUCGUGUAUCUUCUUUUUUCUGUGGGUCGUCAAUUUUUAGUAGGCAUGUAGUGUUCAGCAGCAAGAACACUACAUUCUGGAGUGGCUGAUUGGAGAUGUAGCCAGAAAAUAGGCAAAGUCAGAGGUGAUCGACUCUGCUUGACCAUUUUAACAGUAUCUUGGUCACCAACAGUAUCUUGGUCACCAGGUUGUGGAGUGUCUACAAAUGUUUGGAGGCUUGAAUGGGUAGCUGCUGAAGUCAAAUAAUGAAUGUAAUAUUUAAAAUUUCAGAAAAAAAUGUUAAUAGAAAUCUUGAAUGGAGGUUGUAAACAAAUUUAUUGUUUAAUGUCAAAUUUUUAUUUGGAAGGGGGUUGAAUUGGCCCACUUCCCAAGGCUGUGGAGAAUGGUCAUUUUCCAUGGCCAUUCUUUUCAGUUUAGUGUCUAUUGGUUAAUUUUUUAUAUUUAUUUUUUACUGCAUGAAUGGGUUGCCGAAUCAACUACUGAAAUCAGUAUUUGUAAAUUGAUAUGUAAACAGUUUUGUUGUUUAAUGCCAAAUUUUUAUUUGGAAGGGGUUGGAUUGGCCCCCUUCCCAAGGUUGUGAAGAAUGGUCAUUGGCCAUGGCCAUUCUUUUUCAGUUUAGUGUCUGUCUAUUGGUUAAAUUUUUAUAUUUAUUUUUUACUGCAUGAAUAGGUUGCUGAAUCAACUACUGAAAUUAGUAUUUGUAAAUUGAUAUGUAAACAGAUUUGUUGUUUAAUGCCAAAUUUUUAUUUGGAAGGGAUUGAAUUGGCCCCCUUCCCAAGGCUGUGGAGAAUGGCCAUGGCCAUUCUUUUGGUUAAUUUUUAUAUUAUUUUUUACUGCAUAAAACUCAAUAUUUUAAAAAAUGGUUAUUUCAUCAUAUUUAAUGAUAUGACUUUUUCAGUGUAGCUUAAUUUUUUAGGUA